UGUGCGUGUCACCCUUUUCCUCUAACUGCACCUCACCCCGAGAGAGGUCAGGUGAAUGAAUUUUGCUUGAGAUACAAGAUUUUUUAGUCAAAAACCGCAAAGUGAAAAUUGCAAAGCCGUCGAGCAAAUUGACGUUUGGAAUUACGCUUAUUUUUGGCAAGAAAAACAUUUUUUACACAUACUAAAGACAUUUGAAAUCAUUAUGAAGUAAAGUGUGAUAUGAAGUUAUUAAUUUUUCAAUUUUCUAGUUUUUUAUAUAGUUUUUUUGCGCACGAAGUUGCCUCAAAAUUUGCCCUAAGACAUCUUUCAAGGGCUACAACUUGUAAAAUAAAUACAGUUCUACUUUAUUAAUUGUUUUAGGGCAUAGAUAACGGAGAAAUAAAUCGAUAUUGGCUUAGUUAUAGAAUAUAGA